AGAGUUUGAUGGUGGCUCAGGAUGAACGCUGGCGGUAUGCCUAACACAUGCAAGUCGUACGAGAGUUUUUAACUCAAGUGGCGGACGGGUGAGUAACACGUGAGAAUUUACCUUUAGGAGGGGGAUAACAGUUGGAAACGAUUGCUAAUACCCCAUAUGCUUCCGAGUGAAAUAGAUUUAUCUGCCUAAAGAGAAGCUCGCGGCUGAUUAGCUUGUUGGUAAGGUAAUGGCUUACCAAGGCGACGAUCAGUAUCUGGUUUGAGAGGACGAUCAGACACACUGGAACUGAGACACGGUCCAGACUCCUACGGGAGGCAGCAGUGGGGAAUUUUCCGCAAUGGGCGAAAGCCUGACGGAGCAAUACCGCGUGAGGGAAGACGGCCUAUGGGUUGUAAACCUCUUUUUUCAGGGAGGAAAAAAAUGACGUGUACCUGAAGAAUAAGCAUCGGCUAACUCCGUGCCAGCAGCCGCGGUAAGACGGAGGAUGCAAGUGUUAUCCGGAAUCACUGGGCGUAAAGCGUCUGUAGGUGGUUUAAUAAGUCAACUGUUAAAUCUUGAGGCUUAACUUCAAAACUGCAGUCGAAACUAUUAGACUAGAGUAUAGUAGGGGUAAAGGGAAUUUCCCAGUGGAGC
rnacentral:rRNA from 1 species